AGGAAAGGCAUUGAAUGGUCACCAGAGAGAGACACCAUGUAGCUGCCAAAGGAGUAACGUGCUGGAGCAUUACAGAACAGGUGCCAACUGACCUGAUAGGGUGGCUCUUGGGGAACUUGGAACACUUUGGACAACAUCACCCGGCUCUGACCAAGAGCUUGAGGAGAUUUUCAAGAAGGCGGAAGUGGGGAGGUCACCAGGCAGCAGUGACCAGCCUUAUCCCAGCCCCCAAGGAGCUCAGUCUGAUACCUUCUGAACAACUGAGUAUUGAGGAUCUUCUACUUCCCCAUUGCUCCAGCACCUCUGGGGCCCGUGUGGUGGUUUGAAUGAGAAUGGCCUCCAUAGACUCACAUGUUUGAAUACUUGAUCCCCAGGAACUGCUUGGGAAGGACUAGGAGGUGGGGACUUAUUGGACUAAGUGUGUCACUCUGGGUAAAAUUUCAAGUUUCAAAAGCUCGCACCAUUCCUAGUUAGCUCUCUAUGACUUGUGGUUGUGUCUCAAGACAGAAGCUCCCAGCUACUGCUCCAGUGCCAUGCUUGUCUGCCUGCCUGCUGCCAUGCUCCCUGACAUGAUGCCCAUGGACUCUAACCCCCAGAAACUGUAAGCCCC
rnacentral:lncRNA from 1 species